rnacentral:rRNA from 1 species
AGUUUUCUCGAAUUAAUAAGAGCUAUAGUUUUAUCAAUUUAAUUGUGGCACAAAUUUUUAACAUAAAGUUAUGGCAGUGAAACGUUAAUCGUUUUUUAAGAUAUCUAGUUUCUUAAGAAAUAAAUUUAAUUUAAUCUUUAUGAUAUACAUUAUUAAUUUUUUAGCAGUGUAUUUGUAUAGUUAAAUGUUUUAAGGGAUUAGCUUUAAAACAAAUUAUUAAACUAAAAGAUUUUAGGAAAAGGUUUGUAGGAUUGGAAAUGUCUUUCUCUAGUUUGUUAUAAUUAACCUUUUGAAGAAUAAGAUUUAUAUUUAAGUUUAGAUUUUUUAUUAAGAUUACUUUUUUAAUAUGAUAGUAUGUGGAAUAAUGAUAAAAUUAGUAUAUAAAUUUGUAUAUAGUUUUGUAUGUUUUAGGUUAAGCUAAGGAACUCGGCAAAUUAGCUUUUCGCCUGUUUAUUAAAAACAUGUCUUUUUGAUUAUAAUUUAAAGUCUGACCUGCCCAAUGAGGAUUUAAAUGGCCGCGGUAAUUUGACCGUGCAAAGGUAGCAUAAUCAUUAGUUUUUUAAUUGAAAGCUGGAAUGAACGGUUGGACGAGAAAGCAGCUGUCUCAGUUUAAUUUUUAGUAGAAUUUUAUUUGUAAGUAAAAAAGCUUACAUUAUUUUAAAAGACGAGAAGACCCUAUAGAAUUUUAUAGUUACUUAUUUGAUUGGUGAUUAGAAUAUAAGCUAUUUAAGUAAUAUACUAUUUUGUUGGGGCGACAGAAAAAUUAGUUAAACUUUUUUUUGGACUAUUUCAUUAAUAUAUGUGUAGUUGAUCCGUUUUUUACGAUUAAAAGAUAAAAUUACCUUAGGGAUAACAGCGUAAUUUUUUUUUAGAGUUCUUAUCGAAAAAAGAGUUUGCGACCUCGAUGUUGGAUUAAAAUUAACUUUUGGUGUAGGGGCUACAAGGUUAGGUCUGUUCGA